CUCCUUGUUACCACUUCUGAGCCCUGAUCAAACUCUACGGUUACCUUGUUACGACUUUACCUGAGCCAGAUCAAACUUCGCGGUAACCGUAAGUCGCAACAAGGUAACCGUAGAGUUUGAUCAUGGCUCAGGAUAAGUCGUAACAAGGUAGCCGUACGUCGUAACAAGGUAGCCGUAGAGUUUGAUCAUGGCUCAGGUGAAGUCGUAACAAGGUAACCGUAAGUCGUAACAAGGUAACCGCAGAGUUUGAUCCUGGCUCAGGAAAGUCGUAACAAGGUAGCCGUAAGUCGUAACAAGGUAACCGUAGAGUUUGAUCCUGGCUCAGGUGAAGUCGUAACAAGGA
rnacentral:rRNA from 1 species